GCACCACAAACUCACAUCAGUAUUGGAAUAUUUGCUUUUUAGUAAUUGUCUAGCAGGCAUCUAAUAAUUAGACGCCCACCUCAUGUGUUCAAAAGAAAAUAAUGUUUAGAUAUGAUAGUGCUUUGAAAACACCUGUCUGACCAUGAGGUUGGGUUGUGAGGUUUAGGACUGGUUUGCCUUUGAUGUUAAUAUUAUGAAUGAAUAAUAUUAAGCAACAUUAAGCAGGAAUUUUGUGAUGUAGUGCAUAAGUAUAUCAGCGUAUCUCCGCCAAUCCAGUGACUCUGAUGGAGUUUGUUGACCAUCAGGUCUGGAUGGACAGCUGGUAAAGUUUUCCUGGGUGGCAGGAGAGAGAUUAAACCACGCUCAUAAAUGUUGGCCAUUGAUUGCUAGAAUAUUUGGUAGGCAAAUGUGUAUGUUUCACAAAGUGUUUGCAUUAUUUGUUUUGAAUACUUGAUGCUUGCCGUCAACUCAUGUCCCUUAAUGCUGCAAUAUGCAGAUUGAACAUGUCCUCCUACUGUAUUGCAAAAUACUAUUUUAGUCUUAAGGGAAUGACUACGUUAAGGCACAUGUUAACUCGUCCUCACUCCCUUAUUUACAGAAUAGAGCUGUCAAAAUGCCAAUGCACAAAUCUGGCACUCAGGCUAAAAGCAAAUGGCAAAAAGAUGGCAGACGGCUUUGAAGUCAUUUUGUGCUGGGCCCAGGAUGAAGAACUGCACCACAAACUCACAUCAGUAUUGGAAUAUUUGCUUUUUAGUAUUUCUCUAGCGGGCAUCUAAUAAUUAGAUGCCCACUUCAUGUGUCCAAAAGAAAGUUGCUUUGCCUUUUUUUUAGAAAUACAAUUUUCCACAUAUGCCUCUCUGGCUGUCUAGAUCAAUUGGACAACCAUUAGGUAUAUUUUUUCCACUCUUUAUGUAUGAUUUUAUGACUUUAUAGUUUAGAAAUACUGGGAAGAUUUAGAUUUUUUAUUUUAUUUUACUGUCGAGCAGUCGUGUUAGUGUAUUUCUACCCAUCCAGUCUAAUCC
ensembl:lncRNA